rnacentral:pre_miRNA from 1 species
UAAAUACUCCCUCCGUCCGAAAAUACUUGUCAUCAAAUUGGAUAAAAAGAUAUGUAUCUAAAACUAAAAUACAUCUAGAUACAUUUCCUUUUAUCCAUUUUGAUGACAAGUAUUUCCAGACGGAGGGAGUAUUUG